rnacentral:rRNA from 1 species
GAACCGGACAGAAUCUCCUGGAAGUGGACCGACAAUGGGAUCUACAUGGCAAGCUCUGCGUACAAGGCCUUGUUCCAUGGAUCAACCGCUAGCCCAUUCUGGCAUCUCAUCUGGCGCUUGUGGGCGCCUGACGGUGCCAAGUUCUUUCUCUGGCUUGCCUCGAUGGAUCGCUGCUGGAUGGCCGAGCACCGCGCUCGUCAUGGAUUGCCGCACGAUCCCCUCAGCAAGCUCUGCUGCCAAGAGCUCGAGUCCCUGGAUCACCUACUUGCCCGAUGCGUCUUCUCCCGGCUUACUUGGCACAAAAUCCUCUCAUGGUGCAUACUACCAGUCCCCACGCCAUGCCCCACUGAUGCCUUCUUCGACUGGUGGUGCAAGACCAACAACACUAUCCCAGCUUCAUAUCACAAGGGGAUUAACUCGCUCGCCGCGCUCACGGCCUUGUCCAUUUGGAAACCGCAACGCCACUGUCUUCGAUAA